rnacentral:piRNA from 1 species
UUGGAAGUGUCUAAAUGGACCUGUGUUC